CUCCAGAGUGCACGCAGGCAUCCGGACAAACCCUCUUCAUGUGACGUUUUGCAGCCGGAGCUUGCAGUAACCUGUCGCCUAACUCUGCAAUUAAUCCUCGAGUCAUUGUGCCGCUGACUUGACUCACUGCUGCUCAGGGUCAUCUUUCACAUAUGUGCACAUCUGCUCAGUGAGAAUGUAACAGCCUGUCAUCCACCCAAGUCUGUUACCAAAUCAGGUUCCUUGACCUGUUUGCGUGGAAUCGUGGGAUCCGUAUCAUCUUCCAUCUUUUUGUACCAUUCAACUAAUGUAUAGCAUCUAAGUUUAAACAUUC